GAUAACAAAAAGUAUUGCUCAAACAUCCUAUGUGUAAAUGUGAUUCAUCAACAAUAACUGUCAAACCUGAGACCAAAAAAAAAUAAUUAAACUGCUUUGUCAACGAAGCCGAAAACAUUUUGGAGUCAAGUGAGUUGGUUUAUCAUUGGAGACAAAACCUUUUUUGAGUACAUUGGAUUAAAUUUAUUCAUGGCAACAGCAUUAGCCUUGCUAAUGUAUGUGAAUUAAAGCUAACAAAGGCUUUAAUGAUGAAGAAAAUGAAAAACUGACACGACUGAGGCUGCUUGUGAGCCAAAAUAUAAAACGAAAAAUACGAAGAAAUUGUUGAAAGUGUCAUAUGGUAC